UGGAGGUGUGAGUGGCUGAGGGAAUGGAGGUUGAGUGGCUGAGGGAAUGGGGGUGUGAGUGGCUGAGGUAAUGGGGGUUGAGUGGCUGAGGUAAUGGAGGUGUGAGUGGCUGAGGUAAUGGAGGUUGAGUGGCUGAGGUAAUGGAGGUGUGAGUGGCUGAGGUAAUGGAGGUGUGAGUGGCUGAGGUAAUGGGGUGUGAGUGGCUGAGGUAAUGGAGCUUGAGUGGCUGAGAUAAUGGGGUGUGAGUGGCUGAGGUAAUGGAGGUUAAGUGGCUGAGG